UUAACGAGCGAGACCUGGGCGUGCUAGCUAGGCGCUGCUACCGCUUUUGGUAGUGAGGUGGCCUUCCUAGACGGACUGCAGGCGUCUAGUCUGUGGAAGCUCCAG
rnacentral:rRNA from 1 species